rnacentral:rRNA from 1 species
AUUGAACGCUGGCGGCAGGCCUAACACAUGCAAGUCGAACGGUAACAGGAAGCAGCUUGCUGCUUCGCUGACGAGUGGCGGACGGGUGAGUAAUGUCUGGGAAACUGCCUGAUGGAGGGGGAUAACUACUGGAAACGGUAGCUAAUACCGCAUAACGUCGCAAGACCAAAGAGGGGGACCUUAGGGCCUCUUGCCUUCGGAUGUGCCCAGAUGGGAUUAGCUAGUAGGUGGGGUAACGGCUCACCUAGGCGACGAUCCCUAGCUGGUCUGAGAGGAUGACCAGCCACACUGGAACUGAGACACGGUCCAGACUCCUACGGGAGGCAGCAGUGGGGAAUAUUGCACAAUGGGCGCAAGCCUGAUGCAGCCAUGCCGCGUGUAUGAAGAAGGCCUUCGGGUUGUAAAGUACUUUCAGCGGGGAGGAAGGGAGUAAAGUUAAUACCUUUGCUCAUUGACGUUACCCGCAGAAGAAGCACCGGCUAACUCCGUG